rnacentral:rRNA from 1 species
GUCAAUGAUUUCACUGGACUAACUGCCUCUCAUCUCAUCAGUUCUGAGAAAAUAAGCAGUUGUGGGCCUGGCUAAAAUGCAGAGGGGAGAUCAUCUGGGAAUUCAGGAAGCUAAAGGCC